CCUACGGGGGGCAGCAGUGAGGAAUAUUGGUCAAUGGGCGUAAGCCUGAACCAGCCAAGUCGCGUGAGGGAUGAAGGUUCUAUGGAUCGUAAACCUCUUUUAUAAGGGAAUAAAGUGUGGGACGUGUCCUAUUUUGUAUGUACCUGAUGAAUAAGGAUCGGCUAACUCCGUGCCAGCAGCCGCGGUAAUACGGAGGAUCCGAGCGUUAUCCGGAUUUAUUGGGUUUAAAGGGUGCGUAGGCGGCCUUUAAGGUAAGGGGGAAAAUUUGGAGGUGAACCAUAGUAUUGCCGUUGAAACUGGGGGGCUUGAGUAUGUUUGAGGCAGGCGGAAUGCGUGGUGUAGCGGUGAAAUGCUUAGAUAUCACGCAGAACCCCGAUUGCGAAGGCAGCAUGCC
rnacentral:rRNA from 1 species